rnacentral:rRNA from 1 species
UACGGAGGAUCCAAGCGUUAUCCGGAUUUAUUGGGUUUAAAGGGUGCGUAGGCGGUUUAUUAAGUCAGGGGUGAAAGACGGCAGCUUAACUGUCGCAGUGCCUUUGAUACUGAUGAACUUGAAUGUACUAGAAGUAGGCGGAAUGUGACAAGUAGCGGUGAAAUGCAUAGAUAUGUCACAGAACACCGGUUGCGAAGGCAGCUUACUAUGGUAUGAUUGACGCUGAGGCACGAAAGCGUGGGGAUCAAACAGG